rnacentral:rRNA from 1 species
AACGAACGCUGGCGGCGUGCUUAACACAUGCAAGUCGAACGUGAAAGGGGCUUCGGCCCUGAGUAAAGUGGCGCACGGGUGAGUAACACGUGGAUAAUCUACCCGAUACUCUGGGAUAACACUUCGAAAGGGGUGCUAAUACCGGAUAAGCCCACGGGCUCUUUGGAGCUUGCGGGAAAAGGUGGGGACCUUUUAGGCCUACUGAUAUCGGAUGAGUCCGCGGCCCAUUAGCUAGUUGGUGAGGUAAUGGCUCACCAAGGCAACGAUGGGUAGCUGGGCUGAGAGGAUGAUCAGCCACACUGGAACUGAGACACGGUCCAGACUCCUACGGGAGGCAGCAGUGGGGAAUUUUGCGCAAGGGGCGAAAGCCUGACGCAGCAACGCCGCGUGAGUGAUGAAGGCCUUCGGGUCGUAAAGCUCUGUCAGAGGGGAGCAAGACCUGACGGUGAAUAGCCGGCAGGGUUGAUUGUACCGGAAGAGGAAGGGACGGCUAACUUCGUGCCAGCCGCCGCCGUAACAC